rnacentral:rRNA from 1 species
CAGUCGCCGCGGUAAUACAGAGGGUGCAAGCGUUAAUCGGAUUUACUAGGCGUAAAGGGCGCGUAGGUGGUUAUGUAAGUGAGAUGUGAAAUCCCCGGGCUCAACCUGGGAACUGCAUCUUAUACUGCGUAGCUGGAGUGCAGUAGAGGGUAGUGGAAUUUCCGGCGUAGCGGUGAAAUGCGUAGAUAUCGGAAGGAACACCAGUGGCGAAGGCGGCUACCUGGACUGACACUGACACUGAGGCGCGAAAGCGUGGGGAGCAAACAGGAUUAGAUACCCCAGUAGUCCCUGUCUCUUAUAC